rnacentral:sRNA from 1 species
UGUGUGUGUGUCUUCGUUCGUUACCUCUCUAUGAGCGGGCAUGUCGGGAUGCAAAGCGAAGUUUUUAGGCACCCAAUUGCUUCUAGCACUAUCCUUCAGGCACUAAUUAUGCCCGUGCUCCACCCGCGAGUUCCCCCUUUGGGUGGUGCAACCAUAUUUUCACCGGAAUGAUAAUUUCUUACUAUUUUGUACUGUCAAUGUGUGAAAAGUCCCAAUGAUCACAUCUAUCUAUAAUAAAAAGCUCAUUAUCUACAUCCUCAGUAUCUUCUUCAUCGGAAUGAUCCAAAAUAUUAGCACUUUCCUGCUGUUGAGUAAUCUCAGUGUUUGAUUUCUUUGCAGAAGCUGCAAGCUCUUGUUGAAAUCUAUUCAGUGAUUUCUAUGUAUUCUACUUUAUGCGGUGCAAUCUGUUCUUUACAUGCUUUACAGUCAUCAUCUUUUCUAUAUUAACCUGUCUUCAUGAUAUUUUUUCAGUUUGACAUUGGUGAGCUGUAAGAUAUUGAUUGAGAUCUCUCUUGUGUUGAGCAUAUUUUCAAACCAUCUCAACAGUGGAAGGCUGUCCAGCUUUACCCAACUGUGUAAUCCAUAUCUCAAGGCGUUCUCUUACACGGAAUUCAGUAGAUAAUUGAAUGGCAUGUUCACAGUCUGUGAUUUGAUUCUCUGUAUCCUUCUGUAAAGGAUUUGAUAGUUGAUCUUAUAUUCUCGUAACAGAGGUUUGAUUUUCUGGGUUUUUAUCACAGUUAUAUAUACACUUCUACAGCCUCUAGAAUGCAAUCUUCAGUUGAUUGAGAAAAUUUAGUCAUAUUGUUGGUGGAGGUCUGCUGCCGUCACAUGACAAUUACUAUCCCCGACUUCAAUGCAUCCAUCCAGGAGAACAUGCUCACAGAAUCCCGCCAGAUUAUAUUGGAAAAGAUAGCAACUCCAAAAUAUCAUUAUUUCGUAUAAUGAACACUGAUAAGGCUCUUGCAUAAUUUGAUAUCAUCGGUUAUUCGACGAAAUACUUUGCAUCGUGUAAACGACACGCGCCCAAGAAUUGUCAACACAACCUCCGUGCAGGUGAGCCACAGAGCCACAUCGACAGAAGCUUACGGUAUACAUAGAAGAUAGUCAUCGGUUCAAUCGUUUCGCGGACGGAUUUCGUGGGAGAGAUCGAAUACUGGGAAAGUGCCCUUUCGUGCUCCACCUGGCAAACGAGAUCAAAGUGAUACACACCCCCAGUUCUCGUCUCCGGUCUCCAAGAUGAGUGACGCCUAUGUGCGGGAACAACAAAACAAUGCCCUCCUGGACUCCCUUGCGCAAAAGACCAACGCUCUGAAAUCGGUCUCUAUAGAUAUUUACGAUCAUGCCAGGGAUCACAGCACUAUCGAUAAUACAAGCGAAGUAUUCUCGUCACUAUCGACGAAUAUCAGAGGCAGUGCCGGUCGCCUAACACGAAUGGCGAGACAGGGAGAUAGAGUUGCAGUGUUUAAAAUUGCGGCGAUCGUUAUUGUAGUUGGAUUCCUUCUGUGGAUUAUCCUGGGCUGGAUAUUCUGAACUACGCGACGGGGAGUGAAGAGCGGAUAUACCGAAGUUGAUUUACCCUCCUGCGGUUUUUCGUCGUUUAUUCUUGUCAUGGCAGUAGUUUACGCCCCAUGACCUCCUGAAGACGGCACAAGGUUGGUUCAGGUUGUUUGCAUCAGUUGUUAGGUCAGUCUUGUUUGAACGUGUUGAUGUUUCUCUUAUCCUGUUGGCCGUUACGGUUUUUUAUGGAGUCAAUGCCCCGUUCUUUGGAAACUUUGUACACGAUGAAUUUGGAUUCGGGGUUUUCUUUCCUUUUUUUUCUUCAACUUUGUAAUAUGCAUUUACUAUUUUCUCCUUCCAUUUCUGUUAUCUUUCCGAUUUACACGUCGGUUUAUAAAUCCUACCUGUCUACCUACCAUGGGCAAUAUUCUCCUUAAGUCUCAGAGAACCUAUGCGUUGCACGGUAGGAUAUGAUUAUCAGCUCUACUUGCAGCGUGUAGUUACUUUCGAACCGUUCUCAUAAUUUCUACCGACCUCUAUUGAUUUAAUCGACAUGGAUAGCAAUCACCCUGUUAGAUCAUCUGGUAUCAACUGUGAAUACAAUAAGAAUUGAAAAUAAUAAUUCACGAACUGGGAUGCGCAUUGUGCGAACCCGGUAAAGUUAAUAAAUACGAUUGUCGCAUGAGCAACAUGCAAACUAAAUAAUAAAAUUGAAGAGGAUGCGAGAAUAGAAUCACAAUUUACGAAACGGGCAGUUAUCAUAAAACGGAAUGCUAGAAGUUGCACAAACCGAGUCUCAAAUAUUCAUAAGCGAAUCAAUUGCCUGAGUGCGAAACUGAUAUCUAAUCAAAACAUUGGCUAGCAAGAGAGGGCAUAAAAUCAAAAUGACAAAGUCGCUAUCACUCCCACACAUUGGAGAACAAAUCAUCGCUUCCCGAAAAGCCCCCAGCCGGCUUCGGCUUCGAGGUGGCACUACUAAUCGGAGCUGGGGGAGGGGCGCUUGUCCAUCCGCCGAAAUCUUCAUCAGCGGCAACAGUCGGCGUCGGCUUUGUCGUAGUAGGAGGAGAUUGCGAUCCCCAUCCCGAGCCAAUGUCGUUGGCAGUGAUUUUCUCGGGGACCUUCAUCAUGGACGAAAUAGACUGUUUGCUAGUGGGGGAAGUCGCUUCCGUUGUGUUCCAAGCACCGCCGCCCCAUGGGUCUAUAGCGCUGCCUGAGAGCAGGUUACUGACGUUAGUAGUGUUGGUGGGUGGAGCCGUAGGAACGGGCCCUUUUGACGAAGCCGAGAGAUUGAAGGGAGAAGUUGUAUUUUCUGGUUUUGGUGGAACUGAGGGAGGUAGCGUGGGAGUGGUGGUUGACAUGGAUGAGAAUAAGUCAAAGGAACUCGUUGAAGUGGCGGGGGGAGCUGCUGCCGACUUUGUAGAUCCUACAGUGGCGCUGACAGGGUUGAAAUCUCGCCCGGAAGAGGUCGAUCUCUGUGAGUUUGGGAUAGAAUCAAAAAACCCCCCACCUUUGAGUGGUGGGGAAGAAAUUUUUGGUGCUGUGUUUGGGGACUUGGGAGGACUGAAGGAUCCGAGGUUCGAAAACGCAUCGAAUUUCUCGGGGGGAGGAGGAGAUGUGGUUGACGGAAAGCUCAAUCCACUAAAAGCAUCCGUAAGUUCACCAAACGCAUCUGACUGUGACCUGGCUUGUUGCUGUGGUUGGGGAGAAAAUGAUCCAAAUGAAGUAUUGCGUUCGUGGUGGGCCGGGGCUUGCGGCUUGGGCGCUGAUGCGUAUAAAGAUAGAAUAGAUUGUUUAAGGUCAGGUCUCGAAGGGCCAGUGGAGCCUACAUUGGAUGACGUAGUGCUCGAUGAACGGUUUGCCGCUGGUUGAGCAGAGCCAAAAAAAUCCAAGCCAAGCAAUGAAUCGGCCGGUUUAUUUGGCUUAGGAGCUGCACUUGCAGAAGGCAUGGAGGAAUUCGUUGUUGGAGGACGGACACCUGGUAAGUCUGUGGUAUUAGGUCUCUCAGGGGGGGUCGGGGAUUCGUCGUCGAAAAGAUUAAUUGACUGUCCUGGUCGACGCGACGCAGGCUGGCUCACUGUUGAUGCAGCGCGAGGGGACGUAGAUCGUUCUAGCUUGGCUUUCUCCAUAUUAUUGUCACCUUCAUCAACAUCGAGCGUGGAUGGAUCAGGCAUGGGCCCGUCCAUCACCCACCGUUUUGAUUCAUACUUGGUUCGGAUGAAAUUCUCCAUUUUCGACUCUGAAGGGACAUGCCCGGUAGCGAGCUUUGCUUCCCAGUACUUGUUAGCUCUUGCAUUUCCCCAUUUAAGCACACUCUGUAGUUGUUCAUCCGUCCAAGUGUCAAGAUCGACUGAUUUUACUCGGCUGAUAUGCGUACCCAUACCCCUAUGGAUGCCGGAGCAGCGAAUGCAAAUGAAAACGCCAAUAUUCCAGCUGGCCCAUCUCGGGUGUUUAUUCCGCUUGCAAUCGGCGCAAAUCUUAUUGCAUUCCAAUUUCAGCAAAUUUUUGAUUACCAGUUGGUUCUUUGCUGCCCGCUCCGCAGCCGGGUUCGCCGUUCGUCGAGAGGCCAUGGUUCAACUACAAGUGUCGAGACAGAAGCGUAGUUAACCGAUGGUAGAAUGUACAAGGUCCUAAACCCAGCGUAAUGAUUGCACAUGUAGGGAGUUCGGACAACGAAGGUCGGGUCGGUGG